rnacentral:tRNA from 2 species
GUCCCUGUAGCUUAAAGAAAAGCAUAACACUGAAGAUGUUAAGAUGGCCCUACAAACCCAUGGACA